GAUUAAGUUAUUAAGGGCGCACGGUGGAUGCCUUGGCACUAGAAGCCGAUGAAGGACGUUACUAACGACGAUAUGCUUUGGGGAGCUGUAAGUAAGCUUUGAUCCAGAGAUUUCCGAAUGGGGAAACCCAGCAUGAGUUAUGUCAUGUUAUCGAUAUGUGAAUACAUAGCAUAUCAGAAGGCACACCCGGAGAACUGAAACAUCUUAGUACCCGGAGGAAGAGAAAGAAAAUUCGAUUCCCUUAGUAGCGGCGAGCGAAACGGGAAGAGCCCAAACCAACAAGCUUGCUUGUUGGGGUUGUAGGACACUCUAUACGGAGUUACAAAGGACGACAUUAGACGAAUCAUCUGGAAAGAUGAAUCAAAGAAGGUGAUAAUCCUGUAGUCGAAAAUGUUGUCUCUCUUGAGUGGAUCCUGAGUACGACGGAGCACGUGAAAUUCCGUCGGAAUCUGGGAGGACCAUCUCCUAAGGCUAAAUACUCUCUAGUGACCGAUAGUGAACCAGUACCGUGAGGGAAAGGUGAAAAGCACCCCGGAAGGGGAGUGAAAUAGAACCUGAAACCGUGUGCUUACAAGUAGUCAGAGCCCGUUAAUGGGUGAUGGCGUGCCUUUUGUAGAAUGAACCGGCGAGUUACGAUUUGAUGCAAGGUUAAGCAGUAAAUGUGGAGCCGUAGCGAAAGCGAGUCUGAAUAGGGCGUUUAGUAUUUGGUCGUAGACCCGAAACCAGGUGAUCUACCCUUGGUCAGGUUGAAGUUCAGGUAACACUGAAUGGAGGACCGAACCGACUUACGUUGAAAAGUGAGCGGAUGAACUGAGGGUAGCGGAGAAAUUCCAAUCGAACCUGGAGAUAGCUGGUUCUCUCCGAAAUAGCUUUAGGGCUAGCCUCAAGUGAUGAUUAUUGGAGGUAGAGCACUGUUUGGACGAGGGGCCCCUCUCGGGUUACCGAAUUCAGACAAACUCCGAAUGCCAAUUAAUUUAACUUGGGAGUCAGAACAUGGGUGAUAAGGUCCGUGUUCGAAAGGGAAACAGCCCAGACCACCAGCUAAGGUCCCAAAAUAUAUGUUAAGUGGAAAAGGAUGUGGCGUUGCCCAGACAACUAGGAUGUUGGCUUAGAAGCAGCCAUCAUUUAAAGAGUGCGUAAUAGCUCACUAGUCGAGUGACACUGCGCCGAAAAUGUACCGGGGCUAAACAUAUUACCGAAGCUGUGGAUUGUCCUUUGGACAAUGGUAGGAGAGCGUUCUAAGGGCGUUGAAGCAUGAUCGUAAGGACAUGUGGAGCGCUUAGAAGUGAGAAUGCCGGUGUGAGUAGCGAAAGACGGGUGAGAAUCCCGUCCACCGAUUGACUAAGGUUUCCAGAGGAAGGCUCGUCCGCUCUGGGUUAGUCGGGUCCUAAGCUGAGGCCGACAGGCGUAGGCGAUGGAUAACAGGUUGAUAUUCCUGUACCACCUAUAAUCGUUUUAAUCGAUGGGGGGACGCAGUAGGAUAGGCGAAGCGUGCGAUUGGAUUGCACGUCUAAGCAGUAAGGCUGAGUAUUAGGCAAAUCCGGUACUCGUUAAGGCUGAGCUGUGAUGGGGAGAAGACAUUGUGUCUUCGAGUCGUUGAUUUCACACUGCCGAGAAAAGCCUCUAGAUAGAAAAUAGGUGCCCGUACCGCAAACCGACACAGGUAGUCAAGAUGAGAAUUCUAAGGUGAGCGAGCGAACUCUCGUUAAGGAACUCGGCAAAAUGACCCCGUAACUUCGGGAGAAGGGGUGCUCUUUAGGGUUAACGCCCAGAAGAGCCGCAGUGAAUAGGCCCAAGCGACUGUUUAUCAAAAACACAGGUCUCUGCUAAACCGUAAGGUGAUGUAUAGGGGCUGACGCCUGCCCGGUGCUGGAAGGUUAAGAGGAGUGGUUAGCUUCUGCGAAGCUACGAAUCGAAGCCCCAGUAAACGGCGGCCGUAACUAUAACGGUCCUAAGGUAGCGAAAUUCCUUGUCGGGUAAGUUCCGACCCGCACGAAAGGCGUAACGAUUUGGGCACUGUCUCAACGAGAGACUCGGUGAAAUCAUAGUACCUGUGAAGAUGCAGGUUACCCGCGACAGGACGGAAAGACCCCGUGGAGCUUUAC
rnacentral:rRNA from 1 species